rnacentral:rRNA from 1 species
ACUCAAAUGAAUAGACGGGGCUCCGCACAAGCAGUGGAUCAUGUGGUUUAAUACGACGAUACGCGUAGAACCUUACCGAGACUUGACAUCCUUGUCGUACUCUUAAGAAACUAGGAGGUCAGUUUGGCUGGACAAGUGACAGGUGUUGCAUGGCCGUCGUCAGCUCGUGUCGUGAGAUGUUGGGUUAAGUCCCGCAACGAGCGCAACCCUUAUCGUGUGUUGUACUUUUCACACGAGACUGCCCGGGGUAACCGGGAGGAAGGUGGGGAUGAGGUCAGGUCAGCAUGGCCCUUAUGUCUCGGGCCACACACGUGAUACAAUGGCCGGUACAACGGGCAGCGAAACCGCAAGGUGAAGCAAAUCCUAUCAAAACCGGUCUCAGUUCGGAUUGCAGGCUGCAACUCGCCUGCAUGAAGCUGGAAUUGCUAGUAAACGUGGGUCAGCACACCACGUUGAAUACGUUCCCGGAGCUUGUACACACCGCCCGU